GUUGGUUUUGGUGACAUGGUCCCUAAAACUUAUUUAGGAAUGCUGGUCGGAUCACUUUGUGCACUGAUGGGUGUACUCACAAUUGCUCUUCCAGUUCCAGUUAUUGUAUCCAAC
rfam:Caenorhabditis elegans chromosome II